rnacentral:rRNA from 1 species
AUUGAACGCUGGCGGCAGGCCUAACACAUGCAAGUCGAACGAGUAGCGGACGGGUGAGUAAUGUCUGGGCACCUGCCUGAUGGAGGGGGAUAACUACUGGAAACGGUAGCUAAUACCGCAUACCAUCGGAUGUGCCCAUAUGGGAUUAGCUAGUAGGUGGGGUAAAGGCUCACCUAGGCGACGAUCCCUAGCUGGUCUGAGAGGAUGACCAGCCACACUGGAACUGAGACACGGCCCAGACUCCUACGGGAGGAAGCAGUGGGGAAUAUUGCACAAUGGGCGAAAGCCUGAUGCAGCCAUGCCGCGUGUAUGAAGAAGGCCUUAGGGUUGUAAAGUACUUUCAGCGGGGAGGCGUUACCCGCAGAAGAAGCACCGGCUAACUCCGUGCCAGCAGCCGCGGUAAUAC